ACGAACGCUGGCGGCGUGCUUAACACAUGCAAGUCGAACGGAAAGGCCCUGCUUGCAGGGUACUCGAGUGGCGAACGGGUGAGUAACACGUGGGUGAUCUGCCCUGCACUUCGGGAUAAGCCUGGGAAACUGGGUCUAAUACCGGAUAGGAGCCAUUUUUAGUGUGAUGGUUGGAAAGUUUUUUCGGUGUAGGAUGAGCUCGCGGCCUAUCAGCUUGUUGGUGGGGUAAUGGCCUACCAAGGCGGCGACGGGUAGCCGGCCUGAGAGGGUGGACGGCCACAUUGGGACUGAGAUACGGCCCAGACUCCUACGGGAGGCAGCAGUGGGGAAUAUUGCACAAUGGGCGCAAGCCUGAUGCAGCGACGCCGCGUGGGGGAUGACGGCCUUCGGGUUGUAAACUCCUUUCGCUAGGGACGAAGCUUUUUGUGACGGUACCUAGAUAAGAAGCACCGGCUAACUAC
rnacentral:rRNA from 1 species